rnacentral:rRNA from 1 species
UGAAGGAGCUUGCUCCUGGAUUCAGCGGCGGACGGGUGAGUAAUGCCUAGGAAUCUGCCUGGUAGUGGGGGACAACGUUUCGAAAGGAACGCUAAUACCGCAUACGUCCUACGGGAGAAAGCAGGGGACCUUCGGGCCUUGCGCUAUCAGAUGAGCCUAGGUCGGAUUAGCUAGUUGGUGAGGUAAUGGCUCACCAAGGCGACGAUCCGUAACUGGUCUGAGAGGAUGAUCAGUCACACUGGAACUGAGACACGGUCCAGACUCCUACGGGAGGCAGCAGUGGGGAAUAUUGGACAAUGGGCGAAAGCCUGAUCCAGCCAUGCCGCGUGUGUGAAGAAGGUCUUCGGAUUGUAAAGCACUUUAAGUUGGGAGGAAGGGUUGUAGAUUAAUACUCUGCAAUUUUGACGUUACCGACAGAAUAAGCACCGGCUAACUCUGUGCCAGCAGCCGCGGUAAUACAGAGGGUGCAAGCGUUAAUCGGAAUUACUGGGCGUAAAGCGCGCGUAGGUGGUUUGUUAAGUUGGAUGUGAAAUCCCCGGGCUCAACCUGGGAACUGCAUCCAAAACUGGCAAGCUAGAGUAUGGUAGAGGGUGGUGGAAUUUCCUGUGUAGCGGUGAAAUGCGUAGAUAUAGGAAGGAACACCAGUGGCGAAGGCGACCACCUGGACUGAUACUGACACUGAGGUGCGAAAGCGUGGGGAGCAAACA